AUUAAACGCUGGCGGCAUGCCUUACACAUGCAAGUCGAACGGUAGCGCGGGGCAACCUGGCGACGAGUGGCGAACGGGUGAGUAAAGCAUCGGAACGUGCCCUGGAAUGGGGGAUAACGUAGCGAAAGUUACGCUAAUACCGCAUAUUCUGUGAGCAGGAAAGCAGGGGAUCGCAAGACCUUGCGUUCUGGGAGCGGCCGAUGUCGGAUUAGCUAGUUGGUGGGGUAAAAGCCUACCAAGGCGACGAUCCGUAGCGGGUCUGAGAGGAUGAUCCGCCACACUGGGACUGAGACACGGCCCAGACUCCUACGGGAGGCAGCAGUGGGGAAUUUUGGACAAUGGGCGCAAGCCUGAUCCAGCCAUGCCGCGUGAGUGAAGAAGGCCU
rnacentral:rRNA from 1 species